GUGUUUGACUCCUGCAGUUUGUCACGUGACUCUAAAGGCUGUUUGUCCACCAGCUGUGUUGAAGACCACAUUGCAGCCAAAUGUUGUGAAGUAACCGGUCCAGGCAGUGUUUCCUCACAAAAGGAGCAUGAUAUGUCACCCCAAACCCUAAUGCCAGUCAGAAUGAACUCUCUCAGAGUUCAGGGACAGAGAGUGCGAGGCCAUUAUCAGCCUCUUCCCCGGAGACUGCUGGAGUGGAACUUGAAGGUUCACAUCGGAACACAAGAGUUUCAGAAUGAGCAGAACAAGAUUACACAGGUAUUCUGACUUUUUCAUCUGUAUGCAUUAAAUUCAAAUACAUAUUAUGCCUAGAACAGUACAAAUAUAUCCAGGAGCACUACUACUCCACAAAACAAACUCUCUUGUUGAUUCUCUUGUCUAGGAUGCCAUUACAGAGGUGCAGUGGCUGUGUGAGAGCCACUCUUGGUUGGCAGAUGUUCAUUUGUUCACUGGUCAGUGGAGUUCAGCCUCUCUAGAGACUUUGAGUGGAUGUUCCCCCCAGAAAUAUGAGGAGCUGAUCAAGAAACUUCAUUUUUGGAUGGACAGAGUUCACAGCUUGCCUCCAUCUUUCACUACAUCAAAUAAGUUGUUCACUGUCGAAAUCUCCAACUUCCAAAAGGAUAUCGGUUCCAUUUUAGGCACCAUUGACAAGGAUGUACUAAAGCUACUGUGUGACGAUUUGCAGACACGUUCUGAGAACCUCAUUUCUGAGCUGAAAAGAGCUGUGGAAGUCAUGAAGUCUGAGCCUAGUACCUUUCACCAGUUUACAGUUUUUUCAAACACGGUAUUGACUUUGACAUACUGCUUUUCAGUACUGGUCGAUCAUUGUGAACUGCGGAGUAAUUAAUCAGCAUGAUUAUAUCCAGGUACAGCACAGUGAGAGGAUGUUAGGUGAUAUACAGCAGAGGCUGGAAGAUCUCCACUCUCUACAGGAGACUGUGAGAAGGAAUUAUACACACAUGGAUCCAAAUGACAUUCUUUCAUUGAAGCAGGUACAUGUGAUGUGAAAACGUGGUCAUUGAUUUCUGUUGCAAAUUCAGUCAAAGUCUAAAAGACAACUAUUACUGCAGGUAGUUGACUUGUGGGAUCAGUUUGUUCAGCUCCUGAAACCAGCUGCAGACAUAGUUACCCAGCAGCUUCCUUCUAUGCUUGAUACACUGGACAAGAACAUUUCUUUAUUAGUGAACAAAUUAGACAACCUGGUUUCAAGAGCCACCUCUAGACUCUAUCUCGACCCUGACCAGAAUCCCAAGGAAAUGCUUGUCCAGCUGAAAGCAUUGUACAGUCAGUUCUACGUGAUUGCUGAGCAGCUGAAUGAUCAGAGCAGAGCCAGUGAAAUUCUGAGAGGUAAGACAUCACACCCCUAAACACCUCUCUUCUAGUGGUUUUAAUGCAAUGGUUACAUGUCAGUGGUUUAAUUUAUUUUUUUCAGGUCACCUACUGGAUCUCACUUUUGUGACAGUAGCACGGCAGAAUAUGGAAGCAAGGAAAGGACUCUGGGAGCUGAUGAGCGUGUUGUCCACACAAAUCCAUGAGUGGAAGCUGCUUAAGUUCAAGAAGGUAUCAACACCAAACAGUUCUUUUAGAUUUUGCAUGUAUUUAUAAAACUUUACAGUACUUCUCUUGAAUUUACAUCUUUGCAGUUUGUGGUUGCUAAAGCACAAGGCAAGGUUAGUGAAUGGCUACGACAGGCAGAGGCAUUUGCAAAAGUUAUACCCUCCCAUGAUGCUUUGCUGCAGAAAACCCUACAGAUUUUGCAGGGGUUCAACCAGCUACUCCCUGUUUUAAGUAAGCUAAGCAGCCCUACACUGAAGCCCAAGCACUGGAGAAACAUCUCAAAGGGUAAGAUAAGUGACAUUACAAAAACACAUAAGUGUCAGGUUAGUUUUUAAUUUAGUAUGAAAUUCUAAUAUAUAUAUAUAUCUAUAUAGAAUCAACCCUUAUUAGAAUUGUUUCUGUAGGAAUUGGCCUGCUGUAUGACCCAGAAUGGAAAUUAACGCUGGCUGAUCUCAUGUCCAAAGAGCUACAGAAGCAUCUAAAUAAAAUCGACAAGGUUCAGUAACACCAGUUUACAUUUAUAAACAUAUGAUGUGAAUACUUAACAUUAACAGUUUU
rnacentral:lncRNA from 1 species